AUUGAACGCUGGCGGCAUGCCUUACACAUGCAAGUCGAACGGCAGCACGGGAGCAAUCCUGGUGGCGAGUGGCGAACGGGUGAGUAAUAUAUCGGAACGUGCCCAGUCGUGGGGGAUAACGUAGCGAAAGCUACGCUAAUACCGCAUACGAUCUAUGGAUGAAAGCGGGGGAUCGCAAGACCUCGCGCGAUUGGAGCGGCCGAUAUCAGAUUAGGUAGUUGGUGAGGUAAAGGCUCACCAAGCCGACGAUCUGUAGCUGGUCUGAGAGGACGACCAGCCACACUGGGACUGAGACACGGCCCAGACUCCUACGGGAGGCAGCAGUGGGGAAUUUUGGACAAUGGGCGCAAGCCUGAUCCAGCAAUGCCGCGUGCAGGAUGAAGGCCCUU
rnacentral:rRNA from 1 species